rnacentral:hammerhead_ribozyme from 1 species
AUCCGACUGACGAGUCCCAAACAGAACAAAACGCGCAUCAUGGAU